AUACACUUGAGCAGAAGCUAUCAUUUCUCUGGCUUGAUGCUGAUGCUGAUGCUGCUGUGGAAUUACACAAUACUGGGACUGAUCGAGGCUCUGAAUCGACGUUGAACAACUGUGCUGAGAAUGGAUCACAAGUCUGAUGAUAGAUUUGACAGCAGAAGCACAGGAAGAAUCAGAAAUGUUCAUGGCCUCAAACUGCUUCUGCAGCUGAACAUCUUGUGCUUUACUGCAACAGACUUUGCCAUCGUAUGGACAGAACGACAAACGCCCCGUUUUGCUGCUCGGUUGCCCUGCGCUUGCACAUACACAUUAGUCUAAGAAUAAAAAACAAGAAAUGGCACCAAAAAACACACACAUACUCAAGUUUGUGCAGAGGGGAUAUGAAGAAGAAGGAGAUGGCAAGAACAGCAGCAGCAGACAGAGGAGACACAAAUUCUUGACAGUAUUUUCCAUAGUGAGGAAAAAAAGGCACAUGGCCACCAAAUCCUUAUCUUCUGCACUCCCACUAUAAAUGCUGAAGCUGGAAAGGCUGGAUUGGAAUUAAAUAUUCAAGUGAUUAUCCAGAAGCAAUUGAACUUUUCAUAUUUCUUCAUGAGAAGAAAACACUCCGUCUCUCUCUCAGCAAACCAGAAAGGUAAGUUUGAUGUAAAAGGAGUCUGGACUUUUUUUUAUACAAGGACUAUGGACACUUUGACUUGUGCAUUUACACAAAAUCUCAGUGGAUAGAAGUGGUUCAAAAGGAAAGCAAUAAUGUCUGAGACCAAAUUAAUGCAUACAUAAUUGUUGGUAA